rnacentral:lncRNA from 1 species
GAGCCAAYUGUUCUGCACCUUCACUGAGUACAGCACAAGUCAGCAGGAAUUUAGACACAAAACAGAACCGAGUCCUAUCACACCUUUCUUUAAGCUGUUUCUGAGCACAAAGGAGGAACUAAUCUACCCUUCAUAUGCACAGCAUGAGGUAUCUUGAAAGACACCUGGGACUCUGACUUCUGGCUGUACCUUCUUGGAAUAUGGACCUGCAUGGCAGCUAUGGAAAAUGUCAUCUGGUCCCAAAGCCAAAGGAAUUAAGGGGCUUUUCUUGGACACGGAUGUAUCUUUACCUCCUCUUCACUGACUCCAUCUACAAAGGUAUAAGGGUGCCCUCACUCAGCGUCUCUCAUCUUCCUUGA